rnacentral:tRNA from 1 species
GGAGGGAUAGCUCAAAUGGUAGAAUGCAUGCUUAGCAUGAAUGAGGUCCUGGGUUGGAUCCCCAGUACUUCUA